AUAUCAAUAAGCGGAGGAAAAGAAACUAACAAGGAUUCCCCUAGUAACGGCGAGUGAAGAGGGAACAGCCCAAAUUUGUAAUCUGGUUCUUUCAGAAUCCGAGUUGUAAUUUCAAGAACUGUUUUCCGUGCUGGGCCAUGUACAAGUCUGUUGGAAUAUAGCUUCAUAGAGGGUGAGAAUCCCGUACAUGACAUGGACAAUCAGUACUUUGUGAUACAGUUUCUAAGAGUCGAGUUGUUUGGGAAUGCAGCUCAAAAUGGGUGGUAAAUUCCAUCUAAGGCUAAAUAUUAGCGAGAGACCGAUAGCGAACAGGUACCGUGAGGGAAAGAUUAAAAGCACUUUGGAAAGAGAGUUAACAGUAC
rnacentral:rRNA from 1 species